rnacentral:rRNA from 1 species
ACGGAGGGUGCAAGCGUUAAUCGGAAUUACUGGGCGUAAAGCGCGCGUAGGCGGCUAGAUCAGUCGGGUGUGAAAGCCCCGGGCUUAACCUGGGAACUGCAUCCGAUACUGUCUAGCUUGAGUACAGGAGAGGAGAGUGGAAUUCCACAUGUAGCGGUGAAAUGCGUAGAUAUGUGGAGGAACACCAAUGGCGAAGGCAGCUCUCUGGCCUGAUACUGACGCUGAGGUGCGAAAGCGUGGGGAGCAAACAGG